rnacentral:rRNA from 1 species
GCUUGUCUCAAAGAUUAAGCCAUGCAUGUCUAAGUAUAAAUAGUAUACAGUGAAACUGCGAAUGGCUCAUUAAAACAGUUAUAGUUUAUUUGAUAAUUGAAAAUUACAUGGAUAACCGUGGUAAUUCUAGAGCUAAUACAUGCUAUCAAGCCCGACUUCUUGAAGGGUUGUAUUUAUUAGACUUAAGCCAAUAUUCCUUGUGUCUAUUGCGAUGAUUCAUAAUAACUGAUCGAAUCUCAAAUUUGAGAUAAAUCAUUCAAGUUUCUGCCCUAUCAGUUGUGGAUGGUAGGGUAUUGGCCUACCAUGACUUUAACGGGUAACGGAGAAUUAGGGUUCGAUUCCGGAGAGGGAGCCUGAGAAAUGGCUACCACAUCCAAGGAAGGCAGCAGG